rnacentral:rRNA from 1 species
UACGGAGGGUGCAAGCGUUAAUCGGAAUUACUGGGCGUAAAGCGCACGCAGGUGGCUGAGUCAGUCGAUUGUGAAAGCCCUGGGCUUAACCUGGGAAUUGCAGUCGAUACUACUCAGCUAGAGUAUGGGAGAGGGUAGUGGAAUUCCCGGUGUAGCGGUGAAAUUCGUUGAUAUCAGGAGGAACACCGGCGGCGAAGGCAGCCCCCUGGGUCAACACUGACGCUCAUGCACGAAAGCGUGGGGAGCAAACAGG